UGGUUUCUUUAAAAGCCCCUCUCAAUAUGGCCUGCCUCUUUCUGCUGUCACAAGGAGAGCAACCACAGCCCCUCCCACUUCUGCCCACAUCAUAAUACUCCACUGUCCUCUGAGCUCCAUAAAAGCAGCCCACCUUUGCUGAGCAGCUAAGUCUCCCUGGGGGGGGAGAGGGGAAACGGUUAAUGUUCCCCCUUUGCCCCCGUGGGAUGUGGGAGGGCGGCCGAAGUCCUGGGCUUUUUCCGCAAUCUCAGUCCCUGUAGGGGAUCCAGAUUUCUGGUAGAGGACGCCGAGCUGUCUCCCCUAGACCCCUGCAGGCUCCUUCGGGAGCUCCUACUGGCCACGACCGUCUAAUGUGCCCCUCUCGGGCAAAAGGGCUGAAGCGGGGUCUCCCCCUCCCUGUAAGAAGAAGCUCCCCAAGCAGCUCGAAGACCCAGCUCCCAAAGGCAUGGUCCUUUUGGUUGAGCCAGAGUAGCUCAAGCUGUGUUUGGAUGGGGUCAUCCUUUGGUGGUCCUGCCCCAACACAGAUUGACCAAGGCCCACUGUUUAACCUGGCCCUGCAGGCCUGGCUGGUUGCCGCUUUUUGGAGCCGAGAAGGAAUUUUCCCCUGGGAGGUCUCUGGAUCCCCAGGUUUUUUGCCUUCUCUGCACGGCCUUCCUCUUCAGCUCUGCAAGCGCCUUGGCUUGCCGCUGAAGACGAGUCAACCCGUGGGUCUUUCCCCCUCCCUCCCACCCCCAAAUAAAAUAGAAAUUAAUCUGAA